GCGGCCUAUCAGCUUGUUGGUGAGGUAAUGGCUCACCAAGGCGACGACGGGUAGCCGGCCUGAGAGGGCGACCGGCCACACUGGGACUGAGACACGGCCCAGACUCCUACGGGAGGCAGCAGUGGGGAAUAUUGGGCAAUGGAGGGAACUCUGACCCAGCGACGCCGCGUGCGGGAUGAAGGCCUUCGGGUUGUAAACCGCUUUCAGCAAGGAAGAAGCGAAAGUGACGGUACUUGCAGAAGAAGCACCGGCUAACUAUGUGCCAGCAGCCGCGGUAAUACAUAGGGUGCAAGCGUUGUCCGGAAUUAUUGGGCGUAAAGAGCUCGUAGGUGGUUCGUCACGUCGGAUGUGAAAAUCUGGGGCUUAACCCCAGACCUGCAUUCGAUACGGGCGAGCUAGAGUGUGGUAGGGGAGACUGGAAUUCCU
rnacentral:rRNA from 1 species